GGUUGUGCUGAAGCUGCUGAGUGCUGUAAUUCUGUUCCUGCCGUAGAGGCAAAUUACCCGAUGUCCUUUCACUCCUCUGUUCAUCCCCAGACCUCUCCUUUACUCUUUGAAUUGGUUCUCUCUGUCUCCCUUUCUGUCUCUCUCACUCUCUCUUGGAGUCUCUGUCUCUCUCUCUCUGACUUUCUCUGUCACUGUCUCUCUCUGUCUCUAUCUCUCUUUCUCUCUCUCCUGGACCCUUGGUCUGUCAAUUAGAAAUACAAAAAUAUGAAAGGAGAGUGGAAUUCAACUGUCAACGCAGCAGCAACAACAACAAGCAAAGUCACAGUGAGAGGUCAAGAAGAAAAAUGGAGGGAGAACAUGCUUUGGCUUGAAGGGGAUCAAUUUAGGAUCUGUUCCCAAACCCCCGGCCAAACACACAGCGACCACACAAACCUCUGCUUCCAUGCUAACAGUCCUGGGACUAUAUCCACAGAGAGCACUGGACCACUUUUCCACUCUCGUUUCAGAGGAAUAAGAGAUUCCCAUGAAUCGCAACCCAAGCGCUGCAUGGAGAAAUGGACAGUUUGUCCCUCCAAAAGGAUCCAAUGUGUGCGUCAGAGGUUACCACCACUCACGUGUCACCUCCCUUCAAGGUCCUGCAGUCUGUUGAGAAAGAAUGAGAGCGAGAACGAUCGAGAAAUCGAAAGAGCGAGAAAGAGCGACGGGGAUAGUGUCGGCGAUAGCCGGCCACGCAUUUAUAAUCACACAGGCUUAUCCAGCUGGAUUAGUUUCUAAUCAAUCUAAGCAGUGGUCCAUCCUGCCUGACAUGGUAAUCCUAUGGAAGGAAGGGUCUCUCUCUCCCUCUCUUCUUUCUCCCUUACCUCCCUCCCUUUUUCUCUCCCCCUCCCUCCCUCUCGCUCUCUCUCUCCCUGUUUUUCUCUCCCUGUCUUUCUCUCCCUGUUUGACGGCGUAUUCUCCCCAUAUUAACAUGCAGCUGGGCCACUUGCAUCAUACUGAAAUGUAAACGUCAGACAGCUUUAGCGUGAGGACAUGUGGCCCUCCUCGGAGCUUCACAUUCAAUCACACUCAGCAGCUUUGAUUAGGACAAAUACGCUGCCUGGUGCAAACUGCAACACUAAAGUCACAGCAUCAGCUAAAGCUCCAGGUAUACAUACUGUAGAUAGUACGACUGCAGACACAGCCAUGUGAUAUGAGACAUUUCACAAUGAUUAGGUGUGUGAAACCUAAGGUGUAUAAGAAUCUAGGAUUUCACCGAUUCCUCAAGCUCACUAAGGGUAGAUCUGAUAUGUAGGGUUGUUUCCCUGUGUACAUUAGCGAUAGUCAUUAUUCGUUUUGGGGGAAGGGGGGGCUGCAAUCUUUUUUUCAGAGGUGGGAGAGAGGGAUACAGAAUUAUUUAUUUUUUUGCCCACGCUGGAGACAUCUGUAUCGGUCUACUAAUACAGGACUAGUGAAAGCCCAGUGAACUACUUUUGUGAAAGAAUGCAAACUAAAAGUUUCUGUGUGUUUACCAGCAUUUGUAACUUGAGUCUGAUAAUUAUCCGUACAAAACAGUUAAUCCGAUAAUACUUGUGGAAUAUAAAAUACUUGCUUGAUAUGUUUUCCAGUUUCUUAAAUUAAAGUGAAACGGUCUAUUCAUUCAUUUUCAGUAGACUCUCUUAUGGAGAGUGACUUACAGUAGUGAGGGCACACAUGUUCUUACUUGUCCCCCUUGGGAAUCAAACCCACAACCCUGCCGUUGUAAGCACCAUGCUCUACCAACUGAGCUUACAUGGGACCUUGGUACAAACCCAGACGAGCAGCCUACAAUAUAGUAAGGUAAAUUUACAUGAAGCGGUUUGUAAGGAUGCUAAAUGAAUACUGCACAUCAAGUGGUUGUUUUCCAUGUGAUUUGAUGUGAAUGUCAAUCACAGAGAAAGGGGCAGGGCAACAUCUCUUACAAUUCCAACUACUGAAUCCUGUAAAAUACUGUUCUUAAUGAUACAACUCACUUUUUUGCCAAAGUGGAGGAGCUGAAAAAUAAAGUCUAUAUCGGUCUGCUAAUA